GCUCGCUUAGCUCAGUUGGUUAGAGCGUGGUGCUAAUAACGCCAAGGUCGGCGGUUCGACCCCGCCAGUGAGCA